AACGAACGCUGGCGGCAUGCCUAACACAUGCAAGUCGAACGAGACCUUCGGGUCUAGUGGCGCACGGGUGCGUAACGCGUGGGAAUCUGCCCUUGGGUUCGGAAUAACAGUGAGAAAUUACUGCUAAUACCGGAUGAUGUCUUCGGACCAAAGAUUUAUCGCCCAGGGAUGAGCCCGCGUAGGAUUAGCUAGUUGGUGGGGUAAUGGCCUACCAAGGCGACGAUCCUUAGCUGGUCUGAGAGGAUGAUCAGCCACACUGGGACUGAGGCACGGCCCAGACUCCUACGGGAGGCAGCAGUGGGGAAUAUUGGACAAUGGGCGCAAGCCUGAUCCAGCAAUGCCGCGUGAGUGAUGAAGGCCUUAGGGUUGUAAAGCUCUUUUACCCGGGAUGAUAAUGACAGUACCGGGAGAAUAAGCUCCGGCGAACUCCGU
rnacentral:rRNA from 1 species